rnacentral:rRNA from 1 species
UACGGGGGGGGCAAGCGUUGUUCGGAAUUACUGGGCGUAAAGGGCUCGUAGGUGGCCAACUAAGUCAGACGUGAAAUCCCUCGGCUUAACCGGGGAACUGCGUCUGAUACUGGAUGGCUUGAGAUUGGGAGAGGGACGCGGAAUUCCAGGUGUAGCGGUGAAAUGCGUAGAUAUCUGGAGGAACACCGGUGGCGAAGGCGGCGUCCUGGACCAACACUGACACUGAUGAGCGAAAGCGUGGGGAGCGAACAGG